rnacentral:rRNA from 1 species
UGGUCAAGUUAUUAAGGGUGCAGGGCGGAUGCCUUGGCACUAGGAGCCGAUGAAGGACGUGAUAAGCUGCGAUAAGCUUCGGGGAGUUGCACGUAAACUUUGAACCGAAGAUUUCCGAAUGAGGAAACUCACUUAGAGUAAUGUCUAAGUAUCAUUAAGUGAAUACAUAGCUUAAUGAGGGGAACUCAGGGAACUGAAACAUCUAAGUACCUGAAGGAAGAGAAAGAAAUU